rnacentral:rRNA from 1 species
AUUGAACGCUGGCGGCAUGCCUUACACAUGCAAGUCGAACGGCAGCACGGGAGCAAUCCUGGUGGCGAGUGGCGAACGGGUGAGUAAUAUAUCGGAACGUGCCCAGUCGUGGGGGAUAACGUAGCGAAAGCUACGCUAAUACCGCAUACGAUCUAUGGAUGGAAGCGGGGGAUCGCAAGACCUCGCGCGAUUGGAGCGGCCGAUAUCAGAUUAGGUAGUUGGUGGGGUAAAGGCUCACCAAGCCGACGAUCUGGAGCUGGUCUGAGAGGACGACCAGCCACACUGGGACUGAGACACGGCCCAGACUCCUACGGGAGGCAGCAGUGGGGAAUUUUGGACAAUGGGCGCAAGCCUGAUCCAGCAAUGCCGCGUGCAGGAUGAAGGCCUUCGGGUUGUAAACUGCUUUUGUACGGAGCGAAAAGGCUUCCACUAAUACUGGGGGCUCAUGACGGUACCGUAAGAAUAAGCACCGGCUAACUACGUGCCAGCCGCCGCAGUAACAC